UCGUUGAGCACGAGCACGACUCUAAAGACUCGCAUGGCCGCACCGUCCUGAUGUUGGCAGCGGAGCAGGGAAACCUUGAGAUGGUCGGGGCCCUCGUCGAACACGAAAAGGGGCUGAACGAUAGCAACGGCUGCACGGCUCUUUCCUACGCAGCCCGAGCCGGCCACCGCGAUGUCGCAAUGCUCCUCAUGGACUAUGAGAAGGACGCCGCCGGCUGGACGAUGCUCAUGUGCGCCGCGGCCCUCGGGGACACAGGCAUGGCGUCCCAGCACCUCGAUGAGAAGGGCCAGAGAGACAAGCGGGGCCAGACAGCCCUCGUUAUUGCUGCUCAGAACGGAAGGGACGAGGCCGUGGAGCUCCUGAUGAAGCACGAGAGCGGUGUCUCCGGCUGGACGGGCCUCAUCUACUCUGCAUACCUCGGGGACACGGAUGGGGUCAGGGAGAACGUCCACGAGAAGGGGUGCACCGACAUCACUUGGAUGACGGCGCUCAUGCGGGCUGCACAGCGAGGUCACGAGGGAGCAGUGGAGUUCCUCCUCGAGCACGAGAAGGGGAUGAAGGACAAGGACGGUAGCACAGCCUUCAUGUAUGCUCUUAAGAAUCAGCACACAGGCAUAGCUCUACUUCUUCGCGAGCAUGAGGCCCCCUCGUGGGCCCCUCUGAUGUGCGCGGCCUUCACUGGAGACGUUACCAUGACAAGAAGACACCUCCACGAGAGAGACGUGAAGAACAGCAACGGUGAGACUGCACUGAUCAUAGCUGCGAGGGCGGGGCACAGGAACAUAGUAGAGCUCCUCGAUCCCACCGAUAAGGACGGUACUACUGCCCUCAUGCGAGCUGUUGACAGAAACGACCCAGCAGCUGUGAAGGCACUUGCUCCCCUCCAGGGGGGACAGAGGGAGUUUGGAUCUUUCGACAUAGACGACUGGAUUAUUAUGCGCAACGGAACAGCACUGAUGAGGGCAGCAGCACAUGGCCACACGAGGAUGGUGGAAAUACUCCUAGAGAAGGAAGGCGGCAUGAGGGGUAGCUAUGGAUGGACAGCUCUCAUGAUAGCAGCAUGGAAUAACAAGCAAGACUGUGUUAAAUUACUGGUGAAGCACAAACGUGAGCGUGGUGCUUUGGGUUGGACAAACCUCAUAUGUGCUGCUUGUAUUGGAGAUGCUGAUGCAGUUAGAAGUAAUCUUCAGGAGGCAGGCAUGAGGGGUAGUAAUGGAUGGACUGCCCUCAUGCUAGCAGCAGCGAACGGCUACUCAGAGUGCGCUAAGCUACUGUUAGAGAAGGAGGGGUGCAUGCAGAGGGGUUACGGACAGACAGCCCUUAUACUGGCAGCACGGAAAGGCCACCCAGACUGUAUCAAGCUAUUCCUGGAGAAGGAAGGGGGCAUGGCAGAUUACUACGGAUGGACCGCCCUCAUGUGGGCAGUCUCCUGUAACCAGAUAGAGUGCGCGAGACUCCUCGCAGAGAAGGAGAAGAACAUAAACAGGAGUAGGCUCUUGGACAUAGCCAAGGGCAAUGGAGAGAUACUACCCCUCCUCUCGAAGUAGCCAGAGUAAACAGCGAUCGUCUCUACAUCAGACCUUACACAUCACAGCCCCGCCACGAUGCCCAUGCACAGGCACAGCCCACCACAGCAGCCUCUAGCGCGGGAGCGAACGCGGCUCAGGGAAGUCGGCAAGCCGGCUCCGUAACCUCGGGAAAAGGAGUGGCUCUGACGGCGCGCCGGGUCAGAACUGGAACGGACGCGGGGAUCCCGACUGUUUACUAGAAACACAGCGUCGCGAGGGCCGCACCCGGCGCUGGCGCGACGUGAUUUCUGCCCAGUGCCACGACCGUCACCGUGAAGCGAUCCGCCGAAGCCCUGGUAAACGGCGGGAGUAACUAUGACUCUCUUAAGGUAGCCAAAUGCCUCGUCGGGCAAUUUCCGACGUGCAUGAAUGGACCAACGAGGAUCCCACUGUCCCGAGCCGCGCCUCCGCGAGCCUCCAGCCUCGGGAACGGGCGAGGGCCGGCCAGCGGGGCAAGAAGACCCUUUUGAGCUUGACUCCAGCCCGGGCCUGUGGGGCGGGGCGGCCGGCGCAGCGCACAGGGGAGGCCGCGCCCCUGAGACACCCUGACGGCCGCCGCCGCCCCGCUCACCCGGUCGCGCGGGGACCCGCCCGAGCGGGGAGUCGGC
rnacentral:rRNA from 1 species